rnacentral:rRNA from 1 species
GACGAACGCUGGCGGCGUGCCUAAUACAUGCAAGUAGAACGCUGAAGAGAGGAGCUUGCUCUUCUUGGAUGAGUUGCGAACGGGUGAGUAACGCGUAGGUAACCUGCCUUGUAGCGGGGGAUAACUAUUGGAAACGAUAGCUAAUACCGCAUAACAAUGGAUGACUCAUGUCAUUUAUUUGAAAGGGGCAAAUGCUCCACUACAAGAUGGACCUGCGUUGUAUUAGCUAGUAGGUGAGGUAACGGCUCACCUAGGCGACGAUACAUAGCCGACCUGAGAGGGUGAUCGGCCACACUGGGACUGAGACACGGCCCAGACUCCUACGGGAGGCAGCAGUAGGGAAUCUUCGGCAAUGGGGGCAACCCUGACCGAGCAACGCCGCGUGAGUGAAGAAGGUUUUCGGAUCGUAAAGCUCUGUUGUAAGUCAAGAACGAGUGUGAGAGUGGAAAGUUCACACUGUGACGGUAGCUUACCAGAAAGGGACGGCUAACUACGUGCCAGCAGCCGCGGUAAUACGUAGGUCCCGAGCGUUGUCCGGAUUUAUUGGGCGUAAAGCGAGCGCAGGCGGUUUGAUAAGUCUGAAGUUAAAGGCUGUGGCUCAACCACAGUCCGCUUUGGAAACUGUCAAACUUGAGUGCAGAAGGGGAGAGUGGAAUUCCAUGUGUAGCGGUGAAAUGCGUAGAUAUAUGGAGGAACACCGGUGGCGAAAGCGGCUCUCUGGUCUGUAACUGACGCUGAGGCUCGAAAGCGUGGGGAGCGAACAGG